UACAGAGGGUGCGAGCGUUAAUCGGAAUUACUGGGCGUAAAGCGCACGUAGGUGGCGACGUAAGUCGGGUGUGAAAGCCCCGGGCUCAACCUGGGAAUUGCAUUCGAGACUGCAUUGCUGGAGUACGGAAGAGGAGGGCGGAAUUCCAGGUGUAGCGGUGAAAUACGUAGAUAUCGGGAGGAACAUCAGUGGCGAAGGCGGCCCUCUGGUCCAGUACUGACACUCAAGUGAGAAAGCGUGGGGAGCAAACAGG
rnacentral:rRNA from 1 species